ACGGAGGGUGCGAGCGUUAAUCGGAAUUACUGGGCGUAAAGCGCGCGUAGGUGGCUAUAUAAGCUAGAUGUGAAAUCCCAGGGCUUAACCUUGGAACUGCAUUUAGAACUGUGUGGCUAGAGUACAGCAGAGGAUAGUGGAAUUUCAGGUGUAGCGGUGAAAUGCGUAGAGAUCUGAAGGAACAUCAGUGGCGAAGGCGACUGUCUGGGCUGAUACUGACGCUGAGGUGCGAAAGCGUGGGGAGCAAACAGG
rnacentral:rRNA from 1 species